CCUACGGGAGGCAGCAGUGGGGAAUAUUGGGCAAUGGGCGCAAGCCUGACCCAGCAACGCCGCGUGAAGGAAGAAGGCUUUCGGGUUGUAAACUUCUUUUAUCAGGGACGAAGCAAGUGACGGUACCGGAUGAAUAAGCAACGGCUAACUACGUGCCAGCAGCCGCGGUAAUACGUAGGUGGCAAGCGUUAACCGGAUUUACUGGGUGUAAAGGGCGUGGAGGCGGGAGUGCAAGUCAGAUGUGAAAACUAUGGGCUCAACCCAUAGCCUGCAUGUGAAACUGUACUUCUUGAGUGCUGGAUAGGCUAUCGGAAUUCCGUGUGUAGCGGUGAAAUGCGUAGAUAUACGGAGGAACACCAGUGGCGAAGGCGGAUUGCUGGACAGUAACUGACGCUGAGGCGCGAAAGCGUGGGUAGCAAACAGGAUUAGAUACCCCAGUAGUC
rnacentral:rRNA from 1 species